rnacentral:rRNA from 1 species
GACGGAGGGCGCAAGCGUUGUUCGGAAUUACUGGGCGUAAAGCGCGCGCAGGCGGGAAGGUAAGUCUGGAGUGAAAUUCCGGGGCUCAACUCCGGAGCUGCUUUGGAUACUGUCUUUCUAGGGACCGGUAGAGGCCGGUGGAAUUCCCGGUGUAGUGGUGAAAUGCGUAGAUAUCGGGAGGAACACCAGUGGCGAAGGCGGCUUCCUGGCCUGUUCUUGACGCUGAGGCGCGAAAGCUAGGGGAGCAAACGGG